rnacentral:lncRNA from 1 species
GGGGAGCAGGGAUGGGAUGACAUGGCAUGGCAUGACACGGCACAGCUCUGACAGGGACCCACGGUUGCGGAAGACGAAGCGUGGGUCCUCACCACUGACCAUGCGCCGGAGCUGCUCCUGGUCUGCCCCCUCCAAGCCCACUGCCAGCACUCGGACCCCUGCGCCAACAGCACCUUCAGCACCUGGCUGGAUCGCCCAAGGGGACCUCAUCCCAUGGGAACUUCAUCCCAUGAGGACCCCAUCCCAUAGGGUCCCUAUCCAACCUCACCCGCUGCCUUGGCAUCCCUGGCAGCAGUGAUGGCAUCAUCCCCGGAGGGGCCGUCGGCCAGCACUACCAGCACCGCCGGCACGCUGGGCCGCCGUCCCGCACCAGGGCUCAGCAGCACCACACAUCCCUUACCGGUGGCAGUAGUGACGGUGACUGGAGCGCUCUCCCGGCUGCCCACCAUGCUGGUGAUGCUGAUGUGGUAGCGCCGGCCCGGCUCCAGCCCUCCCAGGUCAUAGGAGUUGGCGGUGGCUGGAAGCUGCUGGCUGCGCUGGGGACCACCUGGUGGGGACAGAGAGGUGAGUGGCCAGGGGUUGGCAUGGAGACACAAGGCUUGG